GCUGGCGGUAUGCCUAACACAUGCAAGUCGUACGAGAGUUUUUAACUCUAGUGGCGGACGGGUGAGUAACACGUGAGAAUUUGCCUUUAGGAGGGGGAUAACAAUUGGAAACGAAUGCUAAUACCCCAUAUGCUUUCGAGUGAAAUGGAUUUAUAUUUAUCCGCCUAAAGAGAAGCUCGCGGCUGAUUAGCUUGUUGGUAAGGUAAGAGCUUACCAAGGCGACGAUCAGUAUCUGGUUUGAGAGGACGAUCAGACACACUGGAACUGAGACACGGUCCAGACUCCUACGGGAGGCAGCAGUGGGGAAUUUUCCGCAAUGGGCGAAAGCCUGACGGAGCAAUACCGCGUGAGGGAAGACUGCCUAUGGGUUGUAAACCUCUUUUUUCAGGGAGGAAUAAAUGACGUGUACCUGAAAAAUAAGCAUCGGCUAACUCCGUGCCAGCAGCCGCGGUAAGACGGAGGAUGCAAGUGUUAUCCGGAAUCACUGGGCGUAAAGCGUCUGUAGGUGGUUUAAUAAGUCAACUGUUAAAUCUUGAGGCUCAACUUCAAAAUCGCAGUCGAAACUAUUAGACUAGAGUAUAGUAGAGGUAAAGGGAAUUUCCAGUGGAGCGGUGAAAUGCGUAGAUAUUGGAAAGA
rnacentral:rRNA from 1 species